CAAGAAGCCGAAAGGCUACUUAAAACCAUCGCGAACUUAUCCAAGUUGCUUCGGCGGCGCGGCUCCCCUCACGGGGGACCGCAGCCCCCGCCUCUCAGGAGGUAAGGGGCAGCCGCCGGAGGUACGAAACUCUGUAUUAUAGUGGUAUCUCUGAGUAUAAAAUAAAUAAGUUA
rnacentral:misc_RNA from 1 species